GCAACUCUGCAGCCUGGCACAGAAUAGUUAAUAUUUUAGGCAAACAUCCAUUUCUACUGUACUCUCUACAAGCUGAUACAGUACAAAGUUCUACUAAGCAAUUAUAUUUUUGCCUAACAUGAAAUAAGAUAAGAGUCCCACACAACAACUUCAACCCACACUUCACAUAAGUCAGUUGUCUGGUCUAAUAUAGAUAUUACUUUGGAUUGUACAAUCUUUUAGCCAACCCCAUUAUCCACAACCUCUAGGCUUAAUGUCAUUAAAAGUUCUUGCUCAAGUCAUAUAACACCUAUGCCCAAGACCUUAAUCAGAAAAGAAUUUUCAGCCAGAAACAAUUCACUGUACCAGACA
rnacentral:misc_RNA from 1 species